CUAUUCAAUUCUGCAACAUAUUCACCAAAAUUAGAACACCACAGAGAAGAUUAGCACAGCCUCUCAGCAAGGAUGACCCAUAAAUUUGUAAAUCAUUCCAUAUUUUU